GACGAACGCUGGCGGCGUGCUUAACACAUGCAAGUCGAACGGUGAAGGGACCGGUUUUUGCUGGUUCUGGAUGAGUGGCGAACGGGUGGGUAACACGUGAGUAACCUGCCCCCUUCUUCUGGAUAACCGCAUGAAAGUGUGGCUAAUACGGGAUAUUCUGCGCCUGCUGCAUGGUGGGUGUGGGAAAGAUAUUGUUUCGGUGGGGGAUGGGCUCGCGGCCUAUCAGCUUGUUGGUGGGGUGAUGGCCUACCAAGGCGGUGACGGGUAGCCGGCCUGAGAGGGUGGACGGUCACACUGGGACUGAGACACGGCCCAGACUCCUACGGGAGGCAGCAGUGGGGAAUAUUGCACAAUGGGCGCAAGCCUGAUGCAGCGACGCCGCGUGAGGGAUGGAGGCCUUCGGGUUGUAAACCUCUUUCGCCAGUGAAGCAGGCCUGUCCCUUUUGUGGGUGGGUUGACGGUAGCUGGAUAAGAAGCGCCGGCUAACUACGUG
rnacentral:rRNA from 1 species